GAAGUUAAGCAAAUCCCAAAAUAAACGUCUCAGUUCGGAUUGUAGUCUGCAACUCGACUACAUGAAGCUGGAAUCGCUAGUAAUCGCAGAUCAGAAUGCUGCGGUGAAUACGUUCCCGGGUCUUGUACACACCGCCCGUCACACCAUGAGAGUUGGAGAUACCCGAAGCCUAUGAGCUAACUUUUAGAGGCAGUAGUCGAAGGUAGAAUCAAUGAUUGGGGUGAAGUCGUAACAAGGUAGC
rnacentral:rRNA from 1 species